UCCCUGGUGGCUUAGAUGGUAAAGAGUCUGCCUGCAAUGCAGGAGACCAGGGUUUGAUCCCUGGCUUGAGAA
rnacentral:tRNA from 1 species